AGUUUUGAGCUAAAUAUAUUAUAAUAUUAGUUAUUUAUGAAGGUGUUGUAAAACCUUAUUAAAAAUUAUAUUUAGGGGUGAUAGGCCUUUCAAAAACUAAGAUAUCUUGAAUCUAAUUAAAAGUAUGUAGUACAUUCAACACAACUAUUAAGUGAUUAGGCUUUAUAGAACUAUUAACUUAUAAAGAUUUUAUUUAUUAUAAUUUAAUAAUUAAGUAUAUAAAUAUAAUAAUAUACAUAUAUUAUAAUUUAUAAGGAGUAAUUAGAUAAAUUAAAGUUCAUAAAUUUUGUAAUAAUGUUAAUAUUAGUAUUAAGUUUAUAUUUAUAUGAUGAACUCGGCAAAAACGUUUCUCAACUGUUUAUCAAAAACAUAACUAUGUGAAUAAAUACAUAGCGGUUUCUGCUCAA
rnacentral:rRNA from 1 species